AUUUUACUGCAGAACAUAUACUAAAAUUGGAACGAUACAGAGAAGAUUAGCAUGGCCCCUGCGCAAGGAUGCUUAUUUUUAAUUUUUUU
rnacentral:snRNA from 1 species